rnacentral:rRNA from 1 species
GACGGAGGGUGCUAGCGUUGUUCGGAAUCACUGGGCGUAAAGGGCGCGUAGGCGGCCUCAGGUGUCGGAUGUGAAAGCCCGGGGCUCAACCCCGGAGGUGCAUCCGAAACUCUGGGGCUGGAGGUCGGAAGAGGAGGGUGGAAUACCCAGUGUAGAGGUGAAAUUCGUAGAUAUUGGGUGGAACACCGGUGGCGAAAGCGGCUCUCUGGUCCGGACCUGACGCUGAGGCGCGAAAGCUAGGGGAGCAAACGGGG